AGAGAGAUGGCUGAGUGGUUGAAAGCGGCGGUCUUGAAAACCGUUGUGGCCUUACGGUCACCGGGGGUUCGAAUCCCUCUCUCUCUGCCA
rnacentral:tRNA from 1 species